rnacentral:rRNA from 1 species
UACAGAGGUCCCAAGCGUUUGUUCGGAUUCACUGGGCGUAAAGGGUGCGUAGGUGGUGAGGUAAGUCGGAUGUGAAAUCUCCAGGCUCAACCUGGAAAUGGCAUUGGAAACUACCUUGCUAGAGGGUUUGAGGGGGGGACUGGAAUACUUGGUGUAGCAGUGAAAUGCGUAGAUAUCAAGUGGAACACCAGUGGCGAAGGCGAGUCCCUGGAAAAUACCUGACACUGAGGCACGAAAGCUAGGGGAGCAAACAGG